rnacentral:rRNA from 1 species
UACGGAGGGAGCUAGCGUUGUUCGGAAUUACUGGGCGUAAAGCGCACGUAGGCGGCUUUGUCAGUUAGAGGUGAAAGCCCGGGGCUCAACCCCGGAAUUGCCUUUAAGACUGCAUCGCUUGAAUCCAGGAGAGGUGAGUGGAAUUCCGAGUGUAGAGGUGAAAUUCGUAGAUAUUCGGAAGAACACCAGUGGCGAAGGCGGCUCACUGGACUGGUAUUGACGCUGAGGUGCGAAAGCGUGGGGAGCAAACAGG